UCUAAUAUGGCAGACUAGUGCACUGGAUUUAAACCCCAAUUAUAAAAGUUAACUUUUUUUUAGAA
rnacentral:tRNA from 1 species